UUAGGAUUCGACGCCGGUCGCGAAACUUUAGGUGCAUGCCGAGUUGGUAACAGAACUCGUAAAUCCACUGUUGCAACUUCUUAUAGUUGCCAAUGACGAAAACUACGGCCAGGAAUUCGCUCUCGCUGCGUAAGCAGCCUUAGCCCUGAGCUUCUGGUACCUUCGGGUCCAGCAAUCACCAGGGGAUGUCUGUAAACCCAAAGUGAUUGUCAUAUAGAACAGAAUCGCCGUGCAGUACGUUGUGGACGAAGCGGCUAAAACUUACACAACUCGCCCAAAGCACCCUGCCCUUCGGGUCGCUGAGGGU
rnacentral:tmRNA from 1 species